rnacentral:tRNA from 1 species
UCCUAGGUGGCUUAGAUGGUAAAGAAUCUGCUUGCAAUGCAGGAGAGCUAGGUUUGAUUCCUGGAGGAG